AGGUAGAUGCACCCUGAUAAUUGCCCUUUGCUUCACGGCGAGGGUUUUUUGU
rnacentral:sRNA from 1 species